UCUUUGCCAUAAUGACCUGAAGUAGGCUG
rnacentral:piRNA from 1 species